UACGUAGGGUGCAAGCGUUGUCCGGAAUUAUUGGGCGUAAAGAGCUCGUAGGCGGUUUGUCGCGUCGGCUGUGAAAACUCGGGGCUCAACCCCGAGCCUGCAGUCGAUACGGGCAGACUAGAGUGCGGUAGGGGAGACUGGAAUUCCUGGUGUAGCGGUGAAAUGCGCAGAUAUCAGGAGGAACACCGGUGGCGAAGGCGGGUCUCUGGGCCGUAACUGACGCUGAGGAGCGAAAGCGUGGGGGGCAAACAGG
rnacentral:rRNA from 1 species